GAUGAACGCUGGCGGCGUGCUUAACACAUGCAAGUCGAACGGAAAGGCUCCUGCUUGCAGGGGUACUCGAGUGGCGAACGGGUGAGUAACACGUGGGUGAUCUGCCCUGCACUUCGGGAUAAGCCUGGGAAACUGGGUCUAAUACCGGAUAGGACGCUGGUUUGGAUGCCAUUGUGGAAAGUUUUUCGGUGUGGGAUGAGCUCGCGGCCUAUCAGCUUGUUGGUGGGGUAAUGGCCUACCAAGGCGUCGACGGGUAGCCGGCCUGAGAGGGUGUACGGCCACAUGGGGACUGAGAUACGGCCCAGACUCCUACGGGAGGCAGCAGUGGGGAAUAUUGCACAAUGUGCGCGAGCCUGAUGCAGCGACGCCGCGUGGGGGAUGACGGCCUUCGGGUGGUAAACUCCUUUCGCUAGGGACGAAGCGCAAGGGACGGUACCUGGAGAAGAAGCACCGGCUAACUACGU
rnacentral:rRNA from 1 species